CUCUACUAUUAAACCUUUAAUAACUCUUCAGAAAAAAGCUAUACGUGUUAUAUCUUUUUCCAAUUACCAAGCACAUACAAGCCCCCUUUUCUUUAAACUAAACAUUUUAAAAGUUCCUGAUAUUGUUUUAUUUAAUACCGCAUUAUUUAUGUAUGAAUAUAAUCAAGGAACACUUCCAAAAGUUUUUGAUGAAAUGUUUACUCCUGUU